rnacentral:rRNA from 1 species
CAGCCGCCGCGGUAAUACGUAGGGGGCGAGCGUUGUCCGGAAUUAUUGGGCGUAAAGCGCGCGCAGGCGGUCCUUUAAGUCUGAUGUGAAAGCCCACGGCUCAACCGUGGAGGGUCAUUGGAAACUGGGGGACUUGAGUGCAGGAGAGGAGAGCGGAAUUCCACGGGUAGCGGUGAAAUGCGUAGAGAUGUGGAGGAACACCAGUGGCGAAGGCGGCUCUCUGGCCUGUAACUGACGCUGAGGCGCGAAAGCGUGGGGAGCAAACAGGAUUAGAUACCCGGGUAGUCCACGCCGUAAACGAUGAGUGCUAAGUGUUAGAGGGGUCACACCCUUUAGUGCUGCAGCUAACGCGAUAAGCACUCCGCCUGGGGAGUACGGCCGCAAGGCUGAAACUUAAAGGAAUUGGCGGG